UAAAAUAAAGAUAUUGCAAUGCGUAUCAUUUUUGUCGCAGUUCUUAUUGCAUCAAUAAUAGUAACGGAAGCUACAUUAAAAGGAAUGGAUCCUAACACUGGGUUUACUGCGGAAUAUGGUUGCUAUAAAUCAUAUUGCUGGUCGUAUUGUUAUUUGCUUGGCAAAAUGUGGUGUUGGACAAAUA